rnacentral:misc_RNA from 1 species
UUUUUAUAAACACGCAUACGUAGAUUUAUGUCCGUGUAAUAAUGACAGUGACAGUCACACAGAUCAUGAUUGAAAUAAUCAAAAUCAUGGCAUCCCCUUGUCCCAUGAUACAAGGAGAACUCCCCAGUGACAUCGCCAACUUGUCCGAGAGGAGGCAAGAGGCUGGCAUCGCAAUAGAUCACCUGGAUGAAAUGCCAAGCUAUGAGGAGUUCUUCCUGAAGUACCUCCUGCCGAACCGUCCAUGUGUGUUGUCAGCCAGGAGCACCGAGGGAUGGCGGAGCCGAAGAGAGUGGGUCCUGCAGGGGGCGCCUCACCUGGACUUCCUCAUCAGCCAUUUUGGCUCUGUGACAGUUCCUGUAGCUGACUGCAGUCAGGAGAAGUUCUCCUCACACCCAAAGGAGGAAAUGUCAUUGAAGGAUUACUUCAUAUACUGGAAGGAACGAACAGUGACACCAGAAGAAAAGUGCUUUUACCUGAAAGACUGGCAUUUCAACAGGGAAUUUCCUGAAUACAAAGCCUAUACAACUCCUGUCUAUUUUCGGUCAGACUGGCUCAAUGAAUUCUGGGACACUCGUACAGACGAGGGAGAUGACUAUCAGUUUGUCUACAUUGGCCCGAAGGGAUCCUGGACGCCGCUCCAUGCCGACGUGUUCCGGUCAUACAGUUGGUCAGCUAACAUCUGUGGCCGGAAGAAGUGGAUCUUCUUUCCCCCAGGAGAAGAGAAGUGCCUGACGGAUGUGUUUGGACAGCUGGUGUAUGAUGUCACGUCUAGCGAGCUGGCUGACCAGUCCAGAUACCCCCACUACAAGCACCUGCAGCACAGGCUGGAGGUCUAUCAGGAAGAAGGGGAGAUAAUCUUUGUCCCGAGUGGCUGGCAUCACCAGGUGUACAAUGUGGAAGACACAAUCUCGAUCAACCACAACUGGCUGAAUGGAUGCAAUAUAGAUAUCUGCUGGGAACACAUCAGACAGGGUCUGCAGGAUGUUCAGAGGGAGAUAGAAGAUUGUCACGACAUGGAGGGAUGGUCAGGACAGUGUCAGGUAGACAAAUUAUGUACAGAGGGAGAUUGAAGAUUGUCACGACAUGGGGGAUGGCAAGGACAGUGUCAGCUAGACAAAUUAUGUACAGAGGGAGAUUGAAGAUUGUCGCGACAUGGAGGGAUGGAAAGGACAGUGUCAGGUAGACAAAUUAUGUACAGAGGGAGAUAGAAGAUUGUCACGACAUGGAGGGAUGGAAAGGACAGUGUCAGGUAGACAAAUUAUGUACAGAGGGAGAUUGAAGAUUGUCGCGACAUGGAGGGAUGGCAAGGACAGUGUCAGGUAGACAAAUUAUGUACAGAGGGAGAUUGAAGAUUGUCACGACAUGGAGGGAUGGAAAGGACAGUGUCAGGUAGACAAAUUAUGUACAGAGGGAGAUUGAAGAUUGUCGCGACAUGGAGGGAUGGCAAGGACAGUGUCAGUUGAUCCUGAAGGCCAGUAGCGGCAUUGACUAUCUGGAGUUCAUCUCCUUCCUCACCACCAUUGCCCAACAUCGGCUCCACGCUCUCUCCAGGCUCCAAGAGGCUCCAACAACAGAC